UACAGAGGGGGCAAGCGUUGUUCGGAAUUACUGGGCGUAAAGGGCGCGUAGGCGGCCUUCUAAGUCGAACGUGAAAUCCCCGGGCUCAACCCGGGAACUGCGUCCGAUACUGGAAGGCUUGAAUCCGGGAGAGGGAUGCGGAAUUCCAGGUGUAGCGGUGAAAUGCGUAGAUAUCUGGAGGAACACCGGUGGCGAAGGCGGCAUCCUGGGCCGGUAUUGACGCUGAUGCGCGAAAGCCAGGGGAGCAAACGGG
rnacentral:rRNA from 1 species